GCCUCAGUCCUUCCCUCGCAGGAGCGCGGCCCCAGCUCCCACGUUCUGGAAGGAUCCAUGCCCAUCCCCAGAAAAGUCUUGCCUCUCGUGGACUCUGCCUCCCUGGACGAGAUCUGUCCUUCAUGUUUCGAAAUAAAGGGGUGUGAACCUGCCUGGGGAUGAGGCCUGAUCUUGUGCAAAGCGGACUUAGCUUCGUGGGGCUGACAGCUCUGGUCCAGGGUGGUAUGUAAUGUUAGCUUAGCCUGGUGACUCCCAGGUCUGAUGUGAGGCCAGGUCCCAGCGGAAGUGAGGGAUGGUCUCAAGUGUGGCUGCUGUGGAGGCAGUGAGCCACCCUCACCUGUUACUGGCUGGUGCGGCCUAAUGCUUCUGCCAGGAAGGGGCUGUAGAAUGAGAGUCUGGGGCCACAUUGACCAACGGCUUUAUUUUCCAGAUGGCAGUGCCCCUUCCCUGGACUUUUCCCUACGUUCGAUGCUAACCUCUUCUGUGAUCUCACUCUUCCCCCUUCUCCUCCCUUUUACUCUGAGGUUAUCAGUUCACUUAAAACCUUGCCUCUGGUCAUCUGGUAAGCCUGGGGAAGUCUGGAGUCAGCAGCUGAAAUUCGUGUUUGGUAUUACUGGUAGCUGACUCGGAAUGGGAUGGGGUGGUGGUGUUGCUUUUGCAGAGGGUGGGGGGAUCGAGUGUGCACCCCGAGGGUGGGCCCAAAGCAAUGGUUCCAGCCAAAGGUCACCCCCAGGCCUCAUGGACAUGGUUUGUUACUGUAGUGUUCAUCAUGGCGAGCAGCCGGCACCAGGAGAAAUGGAGCCCCUGCCAGUGAGGCGUAGCAGUGCAGGCGGGGAGACCCUGAAGGAGACAGCAGCGGCUUAAAUUGAUGCCUGCACCUUGAAUACCAGAGGCUUAGGAGGAAGCUCUCCAUUUGCCAUGUGCCGGGGCCUCGCUCAGGAAGCCAUGUAUUCCGGAGGCCAUCAUUUAAGUUGUUCAGAUGAGCUUUUGGGGGUAGUCCAAAGCCAGGUGCAUCUGGAUGAAUGUUCUGGGAGCACCAUCUCCGGAUGCGAGGAACGCCAGUUGGCACCCCUUCUUCCUGGGGGGUAGGGGUUUUCAGAUGUUGCAUCUUCUAAGUUGAGCCUCCAGUCUUUCUAGCUCUGUGCUGCGAACUUUUGCUUCGAGAAGAUUUCUUUAAGCUGUAGAACAUCUUAAAGUUAAUGUCCACGCAGAAUGAUGCCUUGUAGAUGGCGGCUGCAGAUGGAGCCCAGUGAACUCACCUCUCCGCCCACCUGCUUACCCAUCCUGCCUGUCUGCCUCUGCGUUGGCUGGAAGGAUUCUUGAUGUGAUAAAACUGUUGGGGAAAGCUGUACGGUUUUAAAUGUCUGAGGCAGAGGGUGUGUGUUCGUGUGUGUUGGAUGAAAUGGGAUAUUAAAUUGCAGGGGUGGUGGGGGUUCUUGUGUUAAAGGUCUGGGAAGGGUACUGAUUUGAAGAUGACAGAUCUAUUGAGCAUUCUGAUGGCAUCAGAAGGUACCAAAAAGGGAGUAAUGGGAUGGGGCCAACAGUGGUCCUUCCCCCCCCACCUUUUUUGUCUUUUUUUUUUUUUUUUUUUUUCCCUGUGAGGUGUUUUUAUUUUGGUGCAAGGCUUGGAAGGCGGGUGAUACACUACUACACUGUAAUACUGGUAGCUCCUUUUUUGAUACAGUCUGGGUAUGUCGCCCAAACUGGGCUCAGGUUCAGCCCUCCUGCCUCAGGCUCUUGAGUGUUGGCAUUACAAUUGUGCCACUACGCUUGGCUUUCCAAUUUUUAAACUUGAAUAUUAGAGUGCUUUUGGCAUUCCAGUAGGUGGCCAGAGGAAGGAAUUGUAGGAGGGGCAAGAUUCUUAGGUGGAUGAAGACUCAAGGGGAGAGGGUUGGUGGCAGGGGAAUGCAGCAAAGGGUGGGGGUGGCAGGGAAGGUGGUUGUAAAUGUGGGUUGAGGGGGGGCAUUCACCAGAGAAAUAGGCAGAGCUGAGUGACAUUGAGGAAAUAUAUAAAAGUUAACAGUAAACUACUGAUGCUAGUUAAAUUGCUGCCCAACUGCUUGGAAGCUUUCAGAAAUGCUUUGAGCUUUACAAAUUAAAGGAAAAAGGCAAAAUUGUUUUGCUCUCCUCUUAAGUGGAAAAGACAGGAAACUGGUUAUUACUCACAUGAAAGAUGGUGUCCGCCUCAGGAGGAGAUGAGCCAUUCAUUUCCAGCCUUGGCUGCUUCGCCAGCUGCCAAGUUAGUUUUUCUGAAGCUGGUGAUUUCAGGAGCAGGAAUUCUGGGAAAAGGCUUGUUAAUGUCUACAGUGUGGGCUCUUAAACCGCAUGUAAAUGUUCACUUAACAUGGGAUUCAUUGCCUCUUCUGGGUUUGUAAUUCAAAUUUUGUCAGCUGUUUUGUGAUUGAAAAUUCUGAGCAAAGUGAAAUGUGAUUUUUCUAAAGAUACUUAAUAAGCAAGUGGUGCCUUAAAAACAUCAGCCUGUAUUUCUGUGAUUGGUCAGUGAACAGCAGUCUUACUAAUCCUUUCGAAUCAUAGUCAUUGUAACAAGGAGAGACAACCUUUUGUGGUUACUAUGAAAUAACUGUAACAUUGAUGCAUGUACCCUGCUACUUAUCAUUGUAAUUUUACUUUGAGUGUGAUCUCUAAAGCUACCAGGAGCAGAGGGAAACUUGAUCGAAAUUCGCUUGGGAAAUAAGAGCAAAACUGGGGAAAAGAGGAUACUUGACUAGAUGUUAAAAUUUCAGUCCUGUUUUUAUUUCUGAUCUUCAUGUGUUGAAGUGGCUAAGUGAUACCAGUGGCUUUUUAUCAUGUCUCUUCCUUUUAUAUUUCACUUGAAAAAUGUUAACCCCUAGUACUCCUCAUCCAUGGGACUUUGCUCUCUUCUGGGCUCCCUUUUUAAAAAAAUGCUUGAAAAUAUUUUAGUGUGGAACUUUGAAAUAGUGACCUCGGUGUAACAGCAAUGAUUGCCAUUGGAACUCUGUGUUAGUCAUGCUUGAAUAGGGAAAUACUUUUCGGGUGUCUUGGGGAAUGGAAGCUGUAAAAACAGGCGGUUGAAAGUGCUCAUUGCUCUGUAAGGCAAGAAUGUUCUGUUACUUUGUGUGUGUAAUUGCUAAUCAUCUUUCUUCCCUCUACAGCACAAAUAAAGGUUUGAGUUCUAAACCCCUUA